GCGCUAGGCGGGGAGCUAGCGGUGCCCUAUACCCGCAAUCCGCUACAGCGGGGCUGAAUGCUUUUCUAGGGAUUUUUUAUGGUUGGCCGAAUGCCGUAAGGGACGUUGAUGUUAAGGUCUUGUGCAAUAUCGCCUUGCGAAACGUGUCAGGACGGGAACGUAGCAGCACUAAACAAACGCCGAUAUGUGCCACAAGGUAGCUUUAACGGAGUUACCUGCGUCGUUACCGC
rnacentral:SRP_RNA from 1 species